rnacentral:rRNA from 1 species
UACGAAGGGGGCUAGCGUUGCUCGGAAUCACUGGGCGUAAAGCGCACGUAGGCGGACUCUUAAGUCAGAGGUGAAAUCCUGGAGCUCAACUCCAGAACUGCCUUUGAUACUGGGAGUCUCGAGUUCGGGAGAGGUGAGUGGAACUGCGAGUGUAGAGGUGAAAUUCGUAGAUAUUCGCAAGAACACCAGUGGCGAAGGCGGCUCACUGGCCCGAUACUGACGCUGAGGCACGAAAGCGUGGGG